rnacentral:sRNA from 1 species
GGGAAAAGAUGGCGGCUGCCGCACAAUCCCGGGUUGUCCGGGUCCUGUCAAUGUCACGUUCUGCCAUUACUGCAAUAGCCACAUCUGUGUGUCACGGCCCACCCCGUCGCCAGCUUCAUCAUGCCCUCAUACCUCAUGGGAAAGGUGGACGUUCCUCAGUCAGUGGGAUUGUGGCCACUGUGUUUGGAGCAACAGGAUUCCUGGGGCGAUAUGUUGUCAACCACCUUGGACGCAUGGGGUCACAGGUAAUCAUACCCUAUCGGUGUGAUACAUAUGACAUCAUGCACCUUCGUCCAAUGGGUGACCUGGGCCAGCUUCUGUUUCUGGUAAGGGCCUUUAUGACAGAAUGAAGUUGACAAAUACAAAUUACUAAGAUCAUUUUUAGGAGUGAUAGGCAGUAUAAUAAAGCAGUAAUUUCUUCCCAGAAUGGACCAAAGGCAUCCUCUAUUCCCAGGUCAUUCUUUCAGCUAGGUUCCGGCAUCUCCUUUGUCAUGCAAGCUCUAGAUUGGCAGUUGGCAAACUUUUUCUGUGAAGGGACAGAUAGUAAAUACUUCUGGCUUCGCAGGUCGUAGAGUCUUUGUCAUAAUUACUCAGCUCUGCCUUUGUAACUGGAAGUAGCCAUAGACAAUAUGUACACAAAUGGGCAUGGCUGCAUUUCAGUAAAAUUUUAUUUACAAAAUGAGGCUGCAGGCUGAAUUUGGCCUAUGGACUAUAGUUUGUCAAUCCCUGCUCUAGACCUGUGCUGUCCAGUGUGGUAGCCACUGGCCACAUGUGGCUACUGA